rnacentral:piRNA from 1 species
UGACUGAAGCAGAAGACAUUUUCUGUGAUGG